CGAAUUUAAAAAUCGUGAGGGUUCAAGUCCCUCUAUCCCCA
rnacentral:tRNA from 1 species